UUUCAUUCCACAUUUCACUUAGGCCCUGCAUGGUCUAACCUUCCUGGCAUCUCCGUGGCUCUUGGAGGCUCCAUUUGUCCACCGACAACCCACCAGAGAAGGGGGUAGCUGUGAGCCGUUGACAGCUGACAUCCGAAGCAGGUGAGGAACUGGCUGCACCAGCUGGCAGAGGAUCUGAACAAGGCAGCUACGACCCUGUGGAGGAAAAUUCAUGUUUUCUGGAACUUGCUGAACCAUGUUGUUGCUGAGGGGCCCGCAUGCCAGGGCACCACGAAAGAGCCACGUCCGCGCCACUGCCAGGCAUCCCGAGUCUGGGCAUCAGGACUGAGAAGAAGGGCUUUUUAAAAAGAGACAGAUGGGCUGCCUGGGUGGCUCAGUCACGUAAGUGUCCGACUUUUGAUUUCAGCUUGGGUCAUUACCUCAGGCUGGUGGGAUGGAGCCCCGAGUUGGGCUCCAUGCUUGGAGGGGAGUCUGCCUGAGUUUCUCUCCGUCCCUCUCCCUAUGCCCCUCCCCCCUGCUCUCUCUCCCUCUCUCUCAAAUAAAUACAUCUUUUUAAAAAAUAAAAAAAGAGAC
rnacentral:lncRNA from 1 species